AGCCAUGCGAGUCAUGGGGCGCGCUCUGCGCGCACCGGCGGACGGCUCAGUAACACGUCGGUAACCUACCCUCGGGAGGGGGAUAACCCCGGGAAACUGGGGCUAAUCCCCCAUAGGCCUGGGGUACUGGAAGGUCCCCAGGCCGAAAGGGGCUCUGCCCGCCCGAGGAUGGGCCGGCGGCCGAUUAGGUAGUUGGUGGGGUAACGGCCCACCAAGCCGAAGAUCGGUACGGGCCAUGAGAGUGGGAGCCCGGAGAUGGACACUGAGACACGGGUCCAGGCCCUACGGGGCGCAGCAGGCGCGAAACCUCCGCAAUGCGGGAAACCGCGACGGGGGGACCCCCAGUGCCGUGCCUCAGGCACGGCUUUUCCGGAGUGUAAAAAGCUCCGGGAAUAAGGGCUGGGCAAGGCCGGUGGCAGCCGCCGCGGUAAUACCGGCGGCCCAAGUGGUGGCCGCUAUUAUUGGGCCUAAAGCGUCCGUAGCCGGGCCCGUAAGUCCCUGGCGAAAUCCCACGGCUCAACCGUGGGGCUUGCUGGGGAUACUGCGGGCCUUGGGACCGGGAGAGGCCGGGGGUACCCCUGGGGUAGGGGUGAAAUCCUAUAAUCCCAGGGGGACCGCCAGUGGCGAAGGCGCCCGGCUGGAACGGGUCCGACGGUGAGGGACGAAGGCCAGGGGAGCGAACCGGAUUAGAUACCCGGGUAGUCCUGGCUGUAAAGGAUGCGGGCUAGGUGUCGGGCGAGCUUCGAGCUCGCCCGGUGCCGGAGGGAAGCCGUUAAGCCCGCCGCCUGGGGAGUACGGCCGCAAGGCUGAAACUUAAAGGAAUUGGCGGGGGAGCACUACAAGGGGUGGAGCGUGCGGUUUAAUUGGAUUCAACGCCGGGAACCUCACCGGGGGCGACGGCAGGAUGAAGGCCAGGCUGAAGGUCUUGCCGGACGCGCCGAGAGGAGGUGCAUGGCCGCCGUCAGCUCGUACCGUGAGGCGUCCACUUAAGUGUGGUAACGAGCGAGACCCGCGCCCCCAGUUGCCAGUCCUCCCCGCUGGGGAGGAGGCACUCUGGGGGGACCGCCGGCGAUAAGCCGGAGGAAGGAGCGGGCGACGGUAGGUCAGUAUGCCCCGAAACCCCCGGGCUACACGCGCGCUACAAUGGGCGGGACAAUGGGAUCCGACCCCGAAAGGGGAAGGGAAUCCCCUAAACCCGCCCUCAGUUCGGAUCGCGGGCUGCAACUCGCCCGCGUGAAGCUGGAAUCCCUAGUACCCGCGUGUCAUCAUCGCGCGGCGAAUACGUCCCUGCUCCUUGCACACACCGCCCGUCACUCCACCCGAGCGGGGUCCGGGUGAGGCCUGGUCUCCCUUCGGGGAGG
rnacentral:rRNA from 1 species